rnacentral:lncRNA from 1 species
CAUCUACAAGAAGUAUUUUGAAGUCCAGCGUCUAAGUGGUUGUGACUCGAGAUUUCCUGAAAGAUGGAGAUUUCCUGGAAACAUUUCUUCUUCGGUGGCAGUGACAGCUAGCUGUCUGCCCAAGAGUCACAUGUUCCUCCCCUGUUGACUCUGCUGGAGAGAGACUGCUGACCAGACAGCAUCGGAAUUCACAGGAGUGAAAGGAGAGCCGUGAUUUAGGGAAGGCAUCUGAGAGAAACCGAGGGUCGUGGCGGAGUCUGGUUCUGGGAGGACCGUGAGAAGCACGGUGUCAGGACGAUGGAGACCACCGCGGGAGCUGGAAGAGAGGUUGUCCCCACUGUGCGGAGAGCAGCAGCCUGAGGAGCAAGACGCAAUGCCACCUGCAGGAAAGGGAGCAAGGCCGACGUGGGUGGGAGCAGCACAGCUCGUGUCCUGAGCAGUCCCCAGGCUGAACCUCCGGCAGAACUUGCAACCGCACGUGAAGACGUCCACGGAUGCAGGAUGCAGAUGAACGCGGUUGUUUGAAAUACGAAAGAAGAUUACAUAGGCUUCAGAUUCGGCCAGGGAGAGCAGCAGGCGUGAGAGGGGGUCUGCAGCCGUAUAGAAGGACACAGGAGAACAGAAAUGCGAUGUGUGAAACCUUCUCCCUUUCAAGGGCUUUCUCGUCCACCAGCUCUGCCACUGCUACCAGCAAACAGCUCCUGCAUCAAGAUCUCGGAGCCCAGAACACAAGCGCACCCUCGACAUCGGUGGACUCAUUAGUCUUGGUUUGGUUUUCGUCUCAUCCUCAGCUUGACAGCCUUUCCUUCCUCAGGGCACCGUGGCCGUGUGAUUUAGUGAGUGCCACCUGA